rnacentral:rRNA from 1 species
UACAGAGGGUGCGAGCGUUAAUCGGAAUUACUGGGCGUAAAGCGCACGUAGGUGGUUUGGUAAGUCGGAUGUGAAAUCCCCGGGCUUAACCUGGGAAUGGCAUUCGAUACUGUCGAACUAGAGUCUGGUAGAGGGUGGUGGAAUUCCAGGUGUAGCGGUGAAAUGCGUAGAUAUCUGGAGGAACAUCAGUGGCGAAGGCGGCCACCUGGACUGAGACUGACACUGAGGUGCGAAAGCGUGGGUAGCAAACAGG